rnacentral:rRNA from 1 species
UACGUAGGUGGCAAGCGUUGUCCGGAUUUAUUGGGCGUAAAGAGCGUGUAGGCGGCCAGGUAGGUCAGCUGUGAAAACUCGAGGCUUAACCUCGAGACGCCGGCUGAAACCCUCUGGCUAGAGUCCGGAAGAGGAGAGCGGAAUUCCUGGUGUAGCGGUGAAAUGCGCAGAUAUCAGGAAGAACACCCGUGGCGAAGGCGGCUCUCUGGGACGGUACUGACGCUGAGACGCGAAAGCGUGGGGAGCGAACAGG